rnacentral:lncRNA from 1 species
CUUCCGUGCUCCAGUGGCAAAUAUAUCACGCAUAUUUACGACGAGGCGAAAGUGGAUCUGAAUAAAUGAUUGAUACAUUAUUAAGAUAAAGGGUUUGGUAGUGGUAAAACGUAUGCCGUACUAAAAUAAAGUUGAAUAAUGAUCAAAAUCUUGAGUUAAGCUAUUAGCCCCCACCCCCCCCCCCCCCCCACCCCAUUUUGGAUUAUGAUAUUUCGAUGGCUGUUUUUUUCCCUAUCAUAUUAUGGAACCACUGGGUUUAAGACGGGGUUGGUAAUAAGUCAAGACUUACAUCAGGAC